CAUCCAUACACUUCAAUCAGAGUAACAUAUAGGCCUCGUCCAGAAAACCUUAAACAUCAUCAGAUAAACAUAAUAUCCAUAUAUACAUAAGGAGGUUCUGCCACAAAAGGUACAGUACAUAUAUGUUAAAUGUGCCACAACCAAACUGAAGUAUUGCCACAAAAGGAGAAAGUACAUAUGUUUCUAGGGGUGCCACAACCAAAAUGAGCAUAUAGUGGCUUAACCAGCAAAAUGAGCAGAGCAAGUGUCCAGGUUCAACAAACAAAGCAUAUUACAUAAUCACUCAGCAACUUAAUCAUAGGUUUUCCAAAUCAUCAGUGGCUUCAAGAUCUUCCUAAUCUCCGUCAACAUCUAUAGUAAACCUGCAACAGAUAGGAAAUUCAAAAUGUAGCUCUCGUUUCAGAUUUUUUAAGUAACAAAAUGCGGCAGUUUAAGUACUCGACAAAAAUAGAAUUCUUGUAAAUGUAUAGCACUUCAUCAUCACAUCAAGCAAUGAUCAAGUAGGAAUUGUUUGAAGUGCACAUACAGAAAUCUUCCAUGCGCAAAUAAGCAAAACAAGAACUUGUACAAUGAGUGGUGAAGCGACGUACAAGCUGGGUAGUCCCAACUUUUUGGUGAAACUAGCAUGUAUGUUUAGAAAUGUUAAACAAAUUUGCACAAAUUCAUAUAUUUAGCAGUUUUGGCACCGCUAGUGCAAAACCUGCUCAGUUCAAAACAAAUUAGAACUUAAUAGUGAAAGCUAUGACUAAAACUCUAUACAGUACUAUAUACAACAGAUUGUUGGACUCUGUACAAAUAGGCAAAACUCUAUGCAGUACUAUAUAUUGAACAAAUAGGCAAAACUCCAUACAAAUAGGCAUGAAUGUAUACUGUACGUACAUAGUACACUGAGAAGUACAAAUAGGCAGGGGCGGGGACACGUCAAUCCAAAUACUUCAGGAAAUGCAGCAGCAAUACCCAUCAUAAAGAAUCUGUUUUGUCACACGAAAAACAACGCAACCAGGCAAAAAUUGCCAGAGUAGGAAGAGCAAGGAGCUGCCAGUAUAGCUAGAUAUUAACAAAUUAGAAUCUGCCAAAAAAUCAGUACUAUACAGAGUUGAGGGCAUGAAAAUUUUCAUUUUGUAAACUUCGGUACUUUCCAGAGUACAGGUUGCUUCAGUACUGUAACACUAGUGGAGUUUAGAAUCUGGUUGUCAUUUAAACUCGUAAGUACUGAAAUAUUUCCUAUAGUACAAUACUGAAAUACAUUUAUAUAGUACUGAAAAACAUCAGUACUGUACUAUUUCCUAUAUGAAAUAUUUUGUAAAAGGUACGCAACCAGGAACAACAUUUUGUAAACUUCAGUACUGUACUAUAGGAAAUAUUUACAGAGUUGAGGGCAUGAAAAAUUCUUGGAAACAUGGAUAUUACCUCCUCAGCUUGCUUGUGGUUGCAUUCCUGCUUUCGCCAUGGGCUUGUCCACUUCCAACUGCAUAUAUAGGAUAGGAUAGAAAGAAAGCUUUUUAAGCAACUAGCCAUGAUAGUCAUUGGUAAAUUCAAUCUAAAGAACAAAAGCUCACAUGCUUCAUAUCCACCACCAUAUUCCCCUUCAUGUCCACAUCCACCUUCAUGUCCAUCUUCAUGCCGAUAUCCCCGUCAAUAUAUGCUUGUGUGUUUCUAGCUUUAUCCAUCCAACUCUUGUCCAUUCUUGACCAGUUUCACUAUAAUUGCCUAACAUACGAAAGAAAGUGUACGUCUAUUAAUGGUGAAUAUCUAGUAGCAAAAUGCAUACCGUUCUUAUCUAGUACACGUAAAGGGAUAUACAAUACAGACCAGGAAUAAAAUCUAGCACAGUAGAAAUAGUGAAUUGAAACAUCUCAUUUCAUGAAAUGCAAACACUAAAAUAGUAGUAGGAAUAUCAUGGGAAUAGCAAAUAAAAAUCACGGUUGAUUAAGAAGCAGAGGAUGUGGUGCUGCUCUGGCGAUGAAGCAAAGGACCUACAUGGCACUACUCGGGCAAGGAAGUAGAGGUGAGCAGGGGCGGAGCUGGAGCAAAUGUUACCCUGAUGCACCACUUUAACAUGGUGUAAAAUUUCAAGUAACGACAAUAGUAAAUAAAAGUGUGUUUUACAACUUAUACCUGACAUAAUAGAAGACUAAUUAAAUACAAAACAUAGCCAUCAAAUGCUUAGAAUAACAAGGAAAUAACGAAUAAAAUUAC
rnacentral:lncRNA from 1 species